AGUUGUUGCUGGCCCUCAAACGGGGGCAAGUGCACGCUCUGUUUACACAUCCACUCACACCUGUGCACCCUCUGUAGUUCUGUGGCCUGGGGGACACUGUCCUCUUGCUGUGGUCCUACGUUUUUACACACACACGCUGUAGUAAAGUCUUAUGGAAUGAUGUCGCGUUUAACGCAAUACAAUACAACUUUCAGCAACGGAUCUCUUGGCUCUCGCAUCGAUGAAGAACGCAGCGAAAUGCGAUAAGUAAUGUGAAUUGCGGAAUUCAGUGAAUCAUCGAAUCUUUGAACGCACCUUGCGCCCUUUGGCUAUUCUGAAGGGCAUGCCUGUUUGAGUAUCAUGAACACCUCAACUCUCAUGGUUUGCCAUGAUGAGCUUGGACUUUGGGGGUCUUGCUGGCCUACAGUCAGCUCCUCUCAAAUGAAUCAGCUUGCCAGUGUUUGGUGGCAUCACAGGUGUGAUAACUAUCUACGCUUGUGGUUUUCCACCAGGUAACCUUCAGUGAUGGAGGUUCGCUGGGGCUCACAAAUGUCUCUCCUCAGCGGGGACAGCUUUUUAAACGUUUGAUCUCAAAUCAGGUAGGACUACCCGCUGAACUUAAGCAUAUCAAUAAGCC
rnacentral:rRNA from 1 species